ACCUAUGGCCACACCAUCAUGAAAACAUCCGAUCUUGGCCGAUCUCGGCAGCUAAGCAGGGUUGGGCCCGGUUAGUACUUGGAUGGGAGACCGCCUGGGAAUAUGGGGUGCUGUAGGCU
rnacentral:rRNA from 1 species